UAAGGAAUAUUGGUCAAUGGACGCAAGUCUGAACCAGCCAUGCCGCGUGAAGGAUGAAGGUCCUCUGGAUUGUAAACUUCUUUUAUCUGGGACGAAAACGGGAUUUUUAUCUCAAUUGACGGUACCAGAGGAAUAAGCACCGGCUAACUCCGUGCCAGCAGCCGCGGUAAUACGGAGGGUGCGAGCGUUAUCCGGAUUUACUGGGUUUAAAGGGUGCGUAGGUGGGCUUAUAAGUCAGUGGUGAAAUCUCCGAGCUUAACUUGGAAACUGCCGUUGAUACUAUAGGUCGUGAAUUAUCUGGAGGUAAGCGGAAUAUGUCAUGUAGCGGUGAAAUGCUAAGAUAUGACAUAGAACACCAAUUGCGAAGGCAGCUUACUACAUAUAAAUUGACGCUGAGGCACGAAAGCGUGGGGAUCAAACA
rnacentral:rRNA from 1 species